rnacentral:rRNA from 1 species
AAUAGAUACCCGGGUAGUCCACGCCGUAAACGAUGGAUGCUGGCUGUGAGAGGUAUCGACCCCUCUCGUAGCGAAGCUAACGCGUUAAGCAUCCCGCCUGUGGAGUACGGUCGCAAGACUAAAACAUAAAGGAAUUGACGGGGACCCGCACAAGCGGUGGAGCGUGUUGUUUAAUUCGAUGGUAAACGAAGAACCUUACCCAGGUUUGACAUCCUUGGGAGUUUUCCGAAAGGAAAAUGUGCUUUAUUGAACCAAGUGACAGGUGUUGCAUGGCCGUCGUCAGCUCGUGUCGUGAGAUGUUUGGUUAAGUCCAUCAACGAGCGCAACCCGUUAUGGUCUGUUGUAUUUUUCAGGCCAGACUGCCCUGGCAACAGGGAGGAAGGAGGGGAUGAUGUCAGGUCAGUAUUACCCUUACAUCUGGGGCUACAAACACGCUACAAUGGCCGGUACAAAGGGCUGCCAAGUCGCGAGACGGAGCAAAUCCCGAUCAAAGCCGGUCUCAGUUCGGAUAGCAGGCUGAAACUCGCCUGCUUGAAGCCGG